GCUUGGGUGGGUAGGCCAAUAAUACAUGAGUAGAUACACAUUGCACAGAGAUCAAACAAAGACAAAACCAAAACCAAGUAGUGCAUAUUACCAUGAUGGUAAAAAAAAGAACCUUUGGUUGCCCCAAAACAAGACUGGCCCCGACACCAACUACGUGGUGGGUGGGGGGGUCACUCAUUGAAACAUCGCUUCUUUGUUAGGGGUGUGCUUUCUCUACUGACCCACACCGCACGUGGCUCCCACAUCCGACAAAGGCCCUCGCACGUGCAUUAAUCCUCUAAUUCAAAGGCACCAUCACUGGCCUGAAAAGCCAGGCCUCGUCUUUCUGCACUUUCCCCUCCAGACUCUGUGAUAUAAUGAGAUGAGCAAAGGAAGAAGAGAAACAAGGAGAAGAAAGAGAACUAGAAGAAAGGGUUACCUUUCUUCACAUGGGUGAGUGCUAUUCCAAGCCAUCUCAAGGGAAUGGUAGAGAAGCGAGGGAGCGAGAAGCAGAGGAAGAUGGCAGUCGGCGCCUCGGAGAGAGAUGCAUCUCGAUGGCGAGGGAGAAGAGGUCGAGGCUCUACAUUGCAAGUAAAUGUGCUGCAAUGCUACUCUGUUGGCACGAACAUGCGAGUGACCGUGACACGUCUCGAACCUGAACUUGAAACGGAGCCGCAACACCCCGCAUCACAGUGAGAGUCCCGGGUUGGGUUGGUUCAUAUGCGAAACUUGCUAUGUUCUCUAUUCUUUAGGGAAGAAAUGAACCACAAGUAUUGUAGGGGUGUGCUACUCUUGUUUCCUGGAGAGAAUUGGGCCUGUUCAAGAGCAGUGGAAUGUCAUUUCCAAAAAUGCCUGAUGGCUUAGGUACUUGAGAAGAAGAGAAUAAUAGGGGCGUUGUGAUCUGCCCACACCCGCUAGGGUCUUCCUCACAGAUCCAUCCAACGAGACUCUAGACGACGAUGACCUUGAUAGGGAGCUACUAAUCAUGACGAAUGCAUUAACUUCCUACUUGAUGUUGAAAUUGGACCGGUUUGAUCUCAUCAAAAAUUGAUGUCUCCUUGCAUGAUAUAAAAUCCAAGUAUUAAAUUGGUUGACUUACUUAUCCUUUAAUUGCGAACCGUCUCUCCAG
rnacentral:lncRNA from 1 species